ACAAUGGUCUUCCUAGUCUCAUCGUCACCAUUCUCCUCCUUCUUAGACUCUUCUUUCACUGCCUCGGCGUUAGUCUCGGUCUCUUUUUUCCCUUCAGUCUUCAACUUCUUCUUUCCCGCUGCUUUAUUCAUUUUCUCAGUAGGUAAAUCAGCCGGCGGCAAGGAAGAGUUGGAGUUGGCUCGGCGAGUGGAGCUCCGAGUGACCCUGGUGGACGUGGC
rnacentral:misc_RNA from 1 species